AGUCGAACGGAAAGGCCCCUUCGGGGGUACUCGAGUGGCGAACGGGUGAGUAACACGUGGGCAAUCUGCCCUGCACUUCGGGAUAAGCCUGGGAAACUGGGUCUAAUACCGGAUAGGACCUUUAGGCGCAUGUCUUUAGGUGGAAAGCUUUUGCGGUGUGGGAUGGGCCCGCGGCCUAUCAGCUUGUUGGUGGGGUGAUGGCCUACCAAGGCGACGACGGGUAGCCGGCCUGAGAGGGUGUCCGGCCACACUGGGACUGAGAUACGGCCCAGACUCCUACGGGAGGCAGCAGUGGGGAAUAUUGCACAAUGGGCGCAAGCCUGAUGCAGCGACGCCGCGUGGGGGAUGACGGCCUUCGGGUUGUAAACCUCUUUCACCAUCGACGAAGGUCCGGGUUUUCUCGGAUUGACGGUAGGUGGAGAAGAAGCACCGGCCAACUACGUGCCAGCAGCCGCGGUAAUACGUAGGGUGCGAGCGUUGUCCGGAAUUACUGGGCGUAAAGAGCUCGUAGGUGGUUUGUCGCGUUGUUCGUGAAAUCUCACGGCUUAACUGUGAGCGUGCGGGCGAUACGGGCAGACUAGAGUACUGCAGGGGAGACUGGAAUUCCUGGUGUAGCGGUGGAAUGCGCAGAUAUCAGGAGGAACACCGGUGGCGAAGGCGGGUCUCUGGGCAGUAACUGACGCUGAGGAGCGAAA
rnacentral:rRNA from 5 species